UGGGGAAUUUUGGACAAUGGGCGAAAGCCUGAUCCAGCAAUGCCGCGUGUGUGAAGAAGGCCUUCGGGUUGUAAAGCACUUUUGUCCGGAAAGAAAUCCUUGGCUCUAAUACAGUCGGGGGAUGACGGUACCGGAAGAAUAAGCACCGGCUAACUACGUGCCAGCAGCCGCGGUAAUACGUAGGGUGCAAGCGUUAAUCGGAAUUACUGGGCGUAAAGCGUGCGCAGGCGGUUUGCUAAGACCGAUGUGAAAUCCCCGGGCUCAACCUGGGAACUGCAUUGGUGACUGGCAGGCUAGAGUAUGGCAGAGGGGGGUAGAAUUCCACGUGUAGCAGUGAAAUGCGUAGAGAUGUGGAGGAAUACCGAUGGCGAAGGCAGCCCCCUGGGCCAAUACUGACGCUCAUGCACGAAAGCGUGGGGAGCAAACAGGAUUAGAUACCCUGGUAGUCCACGCCCUAAACGAUGUCAACUAGUUGUUGGGGAUUCAUUUCCUUAGUAACGUAGCUAACGCGUGAAGUUGACCGCCUGGGGAGUACGGUCGCAAGAUUAAAACUCAAAUGAAUUGACGGGGUCAUAGCU
rnacentral:rRNA from 1 species